rnacentral:lncRNA from 1 species
CACCAAUCCAAAGCAUUGUUUGCUGUCUCAAUAACAUGGUGAAUGGACAAGAGAAGAAGAGGUAAUCCCUGGUCUCCAUGUCCUGCUGGCAUAGUGUACAGAUGUUGUCCAUGCUGGGAUUCCAUUGUCUCAAUCGAUCCUUGGUAGGUAACCUAUCCUGCAGUAUCAGCCAAAGAUUAAACACUGCCUUAGGCCUGGGUGAUCCCUGGACUCCAUGUCCUGCUGGCAUAGUGUACAGAUGUUGUCCAUGCUGGGAUUCCAUUGUCUCAAUCGAUCCUUGAUAGGUAACAUAUCCUGCAGUAUCAGCCAAAGAUUAAACACUGCCUUAGGCCUAGCACAGUUUUGGAUGGUUAGAUUUUUCCACACAACUCUGGGCAGCUGCCCAAUCUGGUGUAGAUACAGCCUCUUGAUAGAACACUCUGAUUGGGACAAUAGCUGGGACUGGUGCAAUGCAACAGUAGCUUCUAUAAU